UACGUAGGGUGCGAGCGUUGUCCGGAAUUACUGGGCGUAAAGAGCUUGUAGGCGGUUUGUCGCGUCUGCUGUGAAAAUCCGGGGCUCAACCCCGGACUUGCAGUGGGUACGGGCAGACUAGAGUGUGGUAGGGGAGACUGGAAUUCCUGGUGUAGCGGUGAAAUGCGCAGAUAUCAGGAGGAACACCGAUGGCGAAGGCAGGUCUCUGGGCAGUAACUGACGCUGAGGAGCGAAAGCAUGGGUAGCGAACAGGAUUAGAUA
rnacentral:rRNA from 1 species